ACAACAGGCAGCUGACAACGUUCAACCAGAUAAUAUCGCUGAAGGUGUUGAGGGUUUGAAUUUGUUACCGAAAAUUUCCGAGGCUUCUGAGAGUGGAACUAUUAGAAAAAAAAAUGAUCGCAAAGUUCAAGACAUUCCAAGAGAAUCUGCAAAAGA